rnacentral:piRNA from 1 species
UGUUGUCAAAUAAUUACAUCAUUACCCUGC